GUGGGGAAUCUUAGACAAUGGGGGCAACCCUGAUCUAGCCAUGCCGCGUGAUCGAUGAAGGCCUUAGGGUUGUAAAGAUCUUUCAGCUGGGAAGAUAAUGACGGUACCAGCAGAAGAAGCCCCGGCUAACUCCGUGCCAGCAGCCGCGGUAAUACGGAGGGGGCUAGCGUUGUUCGGAAUUACUGGGCGUAAAGCGCACGUAGGCGGAUUGGAAAGUUGGGGGUGAAAUCCCGGGGCUCAACCCCGGAACUGCCUUCAAAACUCCCAGUCUUGAGGUCGAGAGAGGUGAGUGGAAUUCCGAGUGUAGAGGUGAAAUUCGUAGAUAUUCGGAGGAACACCAGUGGCGAAGGCGGCUCACUGGCUCGAUACUGACGCUGAGGUGCGAAAGCGUGGGGAGCAAACAGGAUUAGAUACCCGAGUAGUCC
rnacentral:rRNA from 1 species